GAUGAACGCUGGCGGCGUGCCUAAUACAUGCCAGUCGAGCGAACAGACGAGGAGCUUGCUCCUCUGACGUUAGCGGCGGACGGGUGAGUAACACGUGGAUAACCUACCUAUAAGACUGGGAUAACUUCGGGAAACCGGAGCUAAUACCGGAUAAUAUAUUGAACCGCAUGGUUCAAUAGUGAAAGACGGUUUUGCUGUCACUUAUAGAUGGAUCCGCGCCGCAUUAGCUAGUUGGUAAGGUAACGGCUUACCAAGGCAACGAUGCGUAGCCGACCUGAGAGGGUGAGCGGCCACACUGGAACUGAGACACGGUCCAGACUCCUACGGGAGGCAGCAGUAGGGAAUCUUCCGCAAUGGGCGAAAGCCUGACGGAGCAACGCCGCGUGAGUGAUGAAGGUCUUCGGAUCGUAAAACUCUGUUAUUAGGGAAGAACAAAUGUGUAAGUAACUAUGCACGUCUUGACGGUACCUAAUCAGAAAGCCACGGCUAACUACGUG
rnacentral:rRNA from 1 species